UCACCAUCCAUCAUCCAUCAAUCAUCCAUCAAUUAAAUAGUGACAGAUAGUAUUGUUUAUUUCUCUCUCCCAUGCAGCUGGGCAGCAACCAUCUCUCAACAGAGGAACGCUAGCGCCAACAGGAGGAGGGGAGGUGCAUGUACUGCGUGCAGCUGGGCCACUUCCUGGCUAGGUGUCCAUUAAACGACAGGGCUCAUCAGUAAACGGAGGGCUACUGGUGAGGUGAACCUCUUCUUCCUUCACACCACGCUCCAGACCUCUCACGCAAGCCUGCUUGUUUUCUCCUGCAGUUUCUCUGGAACUGGUGCAGAUGAGAACUUCAUCAACCGGGGCUUGGCCGAACAGUUCCAGCUGCAGUUGGAAAGACUUCUGGUUCCCCUGUCAGCCAAUGCAUUGGAUGGCCGCUUGCUCUGUUGGGUGAUUCACCGCACUCCGCCCCUCAGCCUCCUCAGGUUGAAGAAACAUAACCCUAACAUAGACUGGUGCACGGGGACUGUUCUGCAUCAUUGAUUCUCUAGAACAAGCUUCUUCUGAAACAUGCCUCUAGCCAGUAAUACAUUUGUAUCCCUAAAGCAAAAAGACCUGGAGAAUGGUGCUUUGUGCAACAUCUCAAAGCAGUAAAUUCAAUUGUUCUUGCAGCCACACCCAUUAUACCUGAUGUUAAUUCCAUUUUGGCCUCAUUGCCUCCCAAUUCUAAAUUUUACACAGUAGUGGAUUUGUGCUCAGCCUUCUUCUCAAUCUCAUCUUUUCUGAUAGCUAGUCUAUUUUUUAUUUCACCUUUGAGGAUCAGCAAUAAACAUUUACACCUGCGCUGCAAGGAUAUUGUGGCCUUUGAUAAAUGCAUGCUGCUGCAGUAAAGAGAGACCUUGAUGACCUUGUGCUCCCUGGUGGAAGUACAUUAUUCAUUAUGACCUCCUGAUGGCUUCCCCUCUGAAGAGGCCUGUAAAAGAGACUCUAUUCUCCUCCUGAAAUGUUUGACGUAAAGAGGUCACACAGGAUCGCUUGCCAAGUUGUCAGCCGAGGGUCAUCUUCAUGGAGUACAUUUUGAAAAACGGUCGCCUCCUCCUCUCACCAGACAGAGUAAAGCUGCUGUCUGCAGUACCUCCACACACAAAAGCAGAGAUGCACUCCUUCUUCGGCAUGACCAAUUACUGCAAUAAUUGGAUUCAUGGAUGAUCAGCAAUGGACUCUGUCCUUUGUGUUGCCACUCUGGACUCUGCACCUCAACCGCUUCAAUGAACUGAAAACUGCACACAACUGCAUUAAGAGACUUGUAGGCUGCUCUCACAUUAGGACCACCUUUGGGCUUGCCAGACUAUGAUCUGCCUUUUCAUAUGUGCAAGAGACAAUAAGCUUCAUCUUGGGCAUCUUGAUUGAGAAACAUGGCUCUCCUUACUCAUCGAUGGCUUUCAAUUCUUCUAAGCUGCCUCUUGUAAUGCAGGGGAUACCAGCCUGUUUGCGAGCUGUUGCAGCUAAGACUAUCCUAAUUGGGAAGUCACCCAAAACAUGACAGCUGCUCCAAGUCAGGCUACAACGUGACCAUUCUGUCCAGCUCUAACAUCUUGGUUCAUAGAGCCCUGCCAUUAAAUCCAGCUGCAUUGUAAAUGUACAUGAUUGUAAAUCAUUGGCUGAUACAGUUCCAUCAUCUAGGCCAGACUUUAUGCAAGCUCCUAUUCUAAAUUCUGACUUGAUUUUCUUUUGUAAUGGCUCAGCAACGGGACCCUCAGACACCCAAUACCUUUCUGGUUAUGUGUCACCACUGAAACAGGUGUAGUGGAGGCACAUGCUUUGUCUCCUGGAACUUCGGCUUGAUAAGCAAAGUUGUACAAUACUUACGACACGUGCCUAUAUUUUGGCUAACUGGCCUUGUCCCUGACUUGAGGCAAUGAAUGAGCCAUGAGGUUAUGCGGACGCGGGAAGGGGAGAGGCAAGCCCUGUGGCAAUCCCUUUUCCUAACUUGCCACGGGUCUCAACCAGUGGGGGAGUGCUCUUGCGGGCCCACAAACCUGCCCUGAUCGCUCUGUCUCAAGAAACCUAUCAGGAUUUACACCCCUAACCAAUUGACUCCUAAAAGUUAUGAGGCUUCGCCGAAUCUGAACACCUGGUCGGUCCGGGGAGGGGUCCCUACACAGGCUCUCUACCCUUAAGGUGUGUGUGUGUGUGUGUGUGUGUGACUAAGUCAAAUCAGUUAUGUAGCUGUGGUGUGGCAGCACUGAAACUUACCUCUCUGAGGCAAAGCAGUGUACUUCUUGGAGAACCCUAGCUCUAUAUGCUUUUGUUAGCUCUCUCUCAGAAUAAACUAAUCACACAGGUGCUUGUUAUGUUUUAUGGGAUAAUGCAGGGUUAUAAUGUCACAAUGUAAAUAAAAAAAAUAAUAAAAAAUAAAAAGGUGGAAAACUG